rnacentral:rRNA from 2 species
UCUGGUGUCAGCCGCCGCGGUAAAACCAGCACCUCAAGUGGUCAGGAUGAUUAUUGGGCCUAAAGCAUCCGUAGCCUGCUUUGUCAGUUUUCGGCUAAAUCCAUACGCUCAACGUAUGGGCUGCCGGGAAUACUGCAAAGCUAGGGAGUGGGAGAGGUAGACGGUACUCGGUAGGAAGGGGUAAAAUCCUUUGAUCUAUUGAUGACCACCUGUGGCGAAGGCGGUCUACCAGAACACGUCCGACGGUGAGGGAUGAAAGCUGGGGGAGCAAACCGGAUUAGAUACCCGGGUAGUCCCAGCUGUAAACUAUGCAAACUCAGUGAUGCAUUGGCUUGAUGCCAAUGCAGUGCUGCAGGGAAGCCGUUAAGUUUGCCGCCUGGGAAGUACGUACGCAAGUAUGAAACUUAAAG